GACCUGUAUAUGGCAAAAGGAAGAAUUUUCAAGUUCAAUAUAAGAUCUUCACUGCAUGAAAAACAUAAAGUCAUCGUGAUGGAACAAUCCACAUGCCAUCAAAAGUUGGGCACUCUAGCUCCCAAGGUAUUGGUGCAUUUGCAGCUUUGUUAGUUUAAUUGAAAUAAUUAUCUAAAUACUCACAGACACUGCUAUUCGUGAUCCUUUGUACCAGGACCUAUUUUCUUUUCUGUUCUCCAAGAAAUUAAGAACAUCCUGUGACAGGGGAAAAGAAAGAUCUUAAGUUUAAUAAAAUCAAGUCCAUACAUACCAUGAUCUGUAAAAUUUAAAUUGAUCCAUCGUCACUAUGCUCUACCUGCCCCAUGCGGUCCCAAAAGCCUCUACAGAUCGCUACGAAAACAUGAGUCUCAAAAACAGACUGAAGCUGAUUAAUUGUGUUCGUGAGCUGGUCUUUCAGUGGCUGCAUCCUACCUCUUAUAUCAGAUUCUACCACAGAUUCCUUUGCUUCUUGGAGAAUCUUUUUCAAUUUUGUAGUAUUCUGUAACUUGGUCUGCAUGGAACAAAAGAAGCAAAUGAGGGGGCACAUCAAAGCAGUACAUAAGCUAAUUUUUCCCCAAAAAAUGGUCAUCUACACUAAAUAUAGUAAUAUGUCUCUUCACAUUCAUGUGAAACUCUGAUAUUUCGAGUCCUUGAACAUACCGUAGUAGCACCUGAAUAUAAACAGAUGGAUGAGUACAAAACAGGUGAAAUUAAAUUCAGAGAUGGCAUUUGCACAUGAAGCUAACAAGGCAUCAUUUGCAGUUAAAUCUCAUCUACCCACACCCUUGUCUGAAUCACACUCUUCCAAAUUUGAGAAUGUAUUAACAUUCUUGCACAUGUCUGCAAAACUAGCCUUAUUUUUCACUCUCUUUGCACCAUAAUUAUAAAGUACUUUUCAGUGGAAAAUACAAUCCCAAAAUUUUAGCAAAUCUUGUCGUCCUUAUUCCAGAAAUACCCCCAUAUUCUUACAAAUCAUACCACCUCAGCUGUCUCCAGCAACUUCUACCUUUACAUUUUCAUUAACGUGAUCUUUGGACAAAUUCACUCUGUCCAAACCAAAGAUACUGUAUAAAAUAAAUUAACAAAUAAGAGCAUGUCUUGUCCUGAUCUAUUGAUUAAUAAAACUUGAGUUAAAAAAAAAUCAAAAUGAGAACAAAUUUAAAGAGUAUCAUUUUCAUAUUUAUACUCACAUUCUCUGCUAGUUUUUCUACGACAGCUUGCAGAUAACUUCUAAACUUGGCUCUCAGCAUCACAGUCACUUCACUAAGACGCUCUCCAGGAGCAGUGUUUCCACCAUCAGGUAUGCAAGAACCCCA
rnacentral:lncRNA from 1 species